UAUAGAUAUAAGCUUGUGCGAAUAGAUUCUUUCAUCACUUUUCAAGUCUACUCUCAACAAGUUAAGACCUCGAAGAAAUCUCAACUAUCACAAGUCGAAAAUGAACCGUUAUCUGCUGGUGUUUUUGGUUGUAGCGUGUUUGUUUGCCGUCAGUUGCAGUGGACAGCGUCCCUUUAAAAGCGACGACCGUCAACGCUAUAUUGAAAGACGUCUUGCUGCUCUCUUGAAAAGAGGCGGCUGUGAAUGUAGUAACGGGCAGCAAGGAUACUGGUCGUUGGGCUGCGCUAAUGGGCAGAACGAUUGCAAAUCAUCCCCAGACAAUCCAAGAGUCAAAUGUUGUUACUGGCCAUAAGAAAAAUAAAAUAAAAUGCAAUCCACGAGUUAAAUUGCAUUAAAAUUCACGAGUUAAAUAGUAUCACAAUCUACGAGUUAAAUGGUACCACAAUCCACGAGUUGUUAAAUGCUAACAUAAUGAAUUAUACACAAAAAAAAUGACAUAUAAUAAAUAAGUGGUAUAUACAUUCGAA